UGCAGUCGAGCGAAUGGAUUAAGAACUUGCUCUUAUGGGUUUAGCGGCGGAGAGGUGAGUAACACAUGGGUAACCUGCCCUUAAGACGGGGAUUACUCCAGGAAACCUGGGCUAAUACCCGAUAACAUUUUGAAGCUGAUGGUUCGAAAUUGAAAGGCGGCUUCCGCUGUCACUUAUGGAUGGACCCGCGUCGCAUUAUCUAGUUGGUGAGGUACCAGCGCACCAAGGCAACGAUGCGUAGCCAACCUGAUAGGGUGAUCGGCCACACUGGGACUGACCCACCGCCCACACUCCGACGGGAGGCAGAAUUAUGGAAUCUUCCCCAAUGGACGAAAGUCCGACAGAGCAACGCCGCAUGAGUGAUGAAGGCUUUCGGGUCCUAAAACUCUGUUGUUAGGGAAGAACAAGUGCUAGUUGAAUACACUGGCACCUUGACGGUACCUAACCAGAAAGCCACGGCCAACUACGUGCCAGCAGCAGCGGUAAUACGUAUGUGGCAAGCAUUAUCCGGAAUUAUUGCGCGUAAAGCUCGCGCAUGUGGUUUCUUAACUCAGAUCUCAAAGCCCACGGCUAACCGUGUAGGGUCAUUGUAACUGGGAGACUUGAGUGCAUAACACAAAGUGGAAUUCCACGUGAACGGUGAAAUGCGUAGAGAAUGGCGGAACCCCAGUGCCUACUGCGACUUU
rnacentral:rRNA from 1 species